GACGAACGCUGGCGGCGUGCUUAACACAUGCAAGUCGAACGGAAAGGCCCUGCUUUUGUGGGGUGCUCGAGUGGCGAACGGGUGAGUAACACGUGAGUAACCUGCCCUUGACUUUGGGAUAACUUCAGGAAACUGGGGCUAAUACCGGAUAGGAGCUCCUGCUGCAUGGUGGGGGUUGGAAAGUUUCGGCGGUUGGGGAUGGACUCGCGGCUUAUCAGCUUGUUGGUGGGGUAGUGGCUUACCAAGGCUUUGACGGGUAGCCGGCCUGAGAGGGUGACCGGCGGAAGUGGGACAGAGGAAAGGCGCAGAGGGAGACGGGGGGAAGAAGGGGGGAAGGGGGAGGAAGGGGGGGGAGGCGGAUGAAGGAGGGCGGGGGGAGGGAGAAGGGAAGGCGGAAGGGGAACCGGGAAAGCCGGGGAAGAAGGGAGAGGGACGGAAAUGGGUAAAGAAGAAAGAGAUAACUAGAUG
rnacentral:rRNA from 1 species